GGAAAAGAACAACUGCUGGCCGUAAGGUCAGACCUGUCUGAGGAUGGAUCCCAGCUCUGUCCCUCACGAGAUGAAGUAAACCAGAUUCAGAAGUCUACAUUUUUUUUUUUUUUUUCACAUAUGGGUCAGGGGACCCUGCUAACUGGAAUAGUUGCUGUGUGACAAAGAAUGAAGAUAUCCUCAAAGUCAUGAAAUAUAUUUGUUCUUUCUACAAAGGAGAAUUUUAAAACUCUGCCUAGGUCUCUAAGAAAGAA